ensembl:lincRNA
ACAGGGCUGAGGUUGCUCCACAUUGGGCCAGGGAGGUUUGUGCACAGAAUGUGGUUGGCUUUGUAGGGCUGUGCCAAGCUGCUGGCACAAAGAUAAAGGGCCGAGUCCCCCAGCUCCAAGGCGCUCACAUUCAUCUCAGAGCUAUAGUUAGAGAACUGGCGCCCUGAGAAUCGAGCAGGGAAGUUUCCUUUAUCAUUCUGUAUCUCAUUGUAGUAUUGGAAGAGGAACUGAGGGUCCUGUCCUGGGGCCUGUUGGUACCAGUACACUCUGUUAUGCCCAGAGAUAGGGGAGCACCUCAGUGUCACUUGCUGUCCUCUCAUUUUGAUCAGGUGUCUUGGAGUUUGGGUGACUCCAGCCUCUCCCAGGCCUGUGGGAAAAGCAGAUGGAAAAUGAGCACAGGAGACAGCCUGGUGCUACCUCCUCCCCAAGGUAAAGUGGAGGACACCGAGCGGGGACAAGCUCAGAAUGGGGGUGCUGUCCUGUCUGCAGGGACUCACCUGCUCCCAGGAGACAGAGCAGCGUCCAACAGAGCAGCCCGGAGCCCAUGGCACGAAGGGUCAGGCAACACUGUCUGUGCUCAGGGCUCGGUCCUCCUGGGGGAGAGCUGAGUUCUCAGCCUCACUUUUCCUGAUGGGAGGGGUAUCCUGUGACGUCACUGUCCUGUGUCCUCCCCUUUCAGGCUUCCUGAGAUCCAGUGCUCCCUGUUCUGCUCAGCGGAAUGCAGUGUGCUGUGAGGGAGGGAGAGAGAGGCUGGGGAAAGAACACAGGCGGGAGCCUGAGGGUCCCUUGGAUGAGGCGUGCUCCAGAGACAUCCCACCUGUGCCAAAGACUCACCCACUCCCAGGAGACAAAGCCCUUUCCAUCAGAGGCACCUGGAGCCUAUGGCCAGUCCAAAGGUAAACAACACCAUGGGACAUCAAUAAGAAGAGGUUCCGAUCCAGCUGCAUCUGACAUUGGUGGUCCCUAGCCAACAGGCCCAUGAGCUAUAAUCAGUGACCAGCACCUCUUCCAAGAUGCCCUCCAGAGGAGGAAAAUGCUGCACUGGGGGAGCACCCAUGGAUAUAAAACAGGUGAAAUUCUCUGAAGCCCAGAUGGCAAUGUUCUACAACUGAAUACUUUUUAUGAAUUUCGUGCAUACAUAAUUCACCAAAACCUUUUCUAAUAGAAGCUGGUGUGUCUGAUGCAGUUUCUGAUUGUGGAUAAUAGAAAGCUUCUACAUAAAAUCAUGUAAAUAUGAGCCAUCAGUAUCAUUCACAUUAAGGACUAGUAUAUUAUUCUACUGUAAAGUGAAUACCUAGAAAUUUUUGAGUUCAAUUAGAUAAAAUUUCUAGAUUGCUGGCUAGUCCUUAACUAGAAAAAGAAACAAAACAGAAUAUAGAGAUUUCUUCAGAGAUGCCUCAUAUCCCAUGAUAAAUGACUAUUAUAUUUCAGAUAAGAACAGGCUGAGAUAAUAUUAUAAAAAUGUGUGAAAAAUGAGAGCAUGAAUUGGACUUCUCCUAAAGUUGCAAACUAGCACCAUCUCCUGGCUCCUUCUCCAGAUGAACCUGAUGAGGCAAGAAAGAAAUAUGAAUAUCAGAAACUCACCAAUAACGAUUAUAAUCUUUUGGGAAGAUGGAAGCUAUUUCAGACAGGAGUAAGAAGAAUACGAGUGGUGAGCCCAAGACUGCAGUGAGAAAACAAGAUGGUGGAAGUGGUUUAAAGCCUACCGUGUCCGACUCCCUCCUUACAUGGAGACAAUCUUAUCUACACUUUCACUUUAGAAAUCAAUAUUAGAGCAACCGAUACCACUGGGACACCAAGAAUACUAAAAGAAAGAUAAUUUCUAUCAUCUGAGUGUCUGUGUCCCCAAAAUUCACAUGUUGAAAUUUUAAGCCCUGAUGUGAUGAUGUUAGGAUGUCAAGCCUUUGGGAGGGAAUUAGGUCAUGAAGGCCUAAGGGGUUAGUGCCCUUACAGAGACGUCAGAGAGCUAGCUGCCCCUCCCACCAUGUGAGGCCAGAGUGAGAAGGAGUCAUCUAUGAACCAGAAAAUGUGCCCUCUAAGCCAUGCUCUCUCUAGGUUCCAUGUAUCCUGUGGAGUAAACAGGGGCCUGAAACAAAAUGUGGGAACUUGCCUUAGGUAAACAGGAUAAGAAUUUCCCAAGCACUCUCAGGACUCACCUGCUCCAAAGAGACAAAAGAUCAUCCUGCAUAAAAGCCUACAGUCCCCUCAUGGCAGAAUUAUGCAGGGCUGAGGCCACUCCCAGCUGAAGUUCUGGUCAUUAGCAGUGCAAAUGGGGAGAUCUUGUGAGGUCAUAGUCUCGGCUGCAGCCACAGUCUCAGGAUCCCCCACUGGAGGAGUGGGGGCCUUAGUGCCACAGUGGACACGGAUGCCCCUCAGAUUUUCCAUAAGACCUCUGGCCAUAACCAUCUGGCCUCUGUGUUUCCUGGGGGUGCACGGGUGCCCCCAGGCCCGGCCUCUGUGUUUUCUGGGGGGUGAAGGCCUGAAGACCCUGUGUGAAAUAGUGUAGCCGAGGAGCCCCCAAGAAACACAGAUUUCAGGAAACCUAGGCAAGCUUAAGACAUAAGGAGAACAGUCAGGACCCACUCUCCUCUCUAAAGGCCAGUGUAAAGCUACAAUCCAGAGACACUGGACUCAGCCUGAUGAUUUAACACACUGGAAUAAAGAUACCUAAGGGAGGAAAAAAUCAUCCGUCAAGUGUCAGUGUGGAGAGGAAAUCCAGCGAGGAGUUGAGACCUGAAACCAAGGACGCUUCAGGUCAAGGGAGGGAGAGUGGAUGAGUCAGGAAGUUUCCAGACCAUGGUUCAUGGGUUCUGAACAGAUGGGAGUGGACAGAGGCACAUUUGCUGCCUGCGGGGCUCAGAGAAGGUGCCUGUGCGUAUUUGGAGCUUUGAUCAGGGCGGUAAUUUACACUCUAGUUUUGAGUUUAAAUAAGAAAAACAGAGAAUAGACAAGGUGGAAUACAGAAUAAUAGAACUGCUGUAACAGGUAUUUCUCAAACCCAUUCCCCAAACGAUGAGUUGUCUACUGUCCUCUCCAGCUGGCUCCUGCCCUGGGACCCUUGCCUGGAAGUUGCCUCUAUGAUUCCCCAAAACCCAGUGCUGCUUGGCCUUGGGUGUCAGCAAUCUGUGACAGAAGGGACCCCUUGGUUCCUGAGAAAGAGAAGCCUGGAAACCACCAGAUAUAAAGUGUCAGAAGAACUUGGCUCCUCACAGGACACUGUGUGGCCCAGUGCAGGGUAUGACUCUGCAGUGAUGCAGGUGAUUAUUUAG